rnacentral:rRNA from 1 species
UACGUAGGUGGCAAGCGUUGUCCGGAAUUAUUGGGCGUAAAGCGCGCGCAGGCGGGAUAUCAAGUCCAUCUUAAAAGUGCUGAGCUUAACUCAGUGAGGGGAUGGAAACUGGUAUUCUUGAGUGUCGGAGAGGAAAGUGGAAUUCCCAGUGUAGCGGUGAAAUGCGUAGAUAUUGGGAGGAACACCAGUGGCGAAGGCGACUUUCUGGACGAUGUCUGACGCUGAGGCGCGAAAGCCAGGGAAGUGAACGGG